rnacentral:rRNA from 1 species
AGAGUUUGAUCCUGGCUCAGGAUGAACGCUGGCGGCGUGCCUAACACAUGCAAGUCGAACGAAGCAUUUACACGGAUUUCCUUCGGGGAUGAAGGGUUUAUGACUGAGUGGCGGACGGGUGAGUAACGCGUGGGCAACCUGCCCCGUACCGGGGGACAACAGCCGGAAACGGCUGCUAAUACCGUAUACGUUUUAAGGACCGCAUGGUCCGUAAAACAAAACUCCGGUGGUACGGGAUGGGCCCGCGUCUGAUUAGCUCGUUGGCGGGGUAACGGCCCACCAAGGCGACGAUCAGUAGCCGGCCUGAGAGGGCGGCCGGCCACAUUGGGACUGAGACACGGCCCAGACUCCUGCGGGAGGCAGCAGUGGGGAAUAUUGCACAAUGGGGGAAACCCUGAUGCAGCGACGCCGCGUGAGCGAGGAAGUACUUCGGUAUGUAAAGCUCUGUCAGCAGGGAAGAAAAUGACAGUACCUGACCAAGAAGCCCCGGCUAACUACGUGCCAGCAGCCGCGGUAAUACGUAAGGGGCAAGCGUUAUCCGGAUUCACUGGGCGUAAAGGGAGCGCAAGCGGCACGGCAAGUCUGAUGUGAAAACCCGGGG